UACGUAGGUGGCAAGCGUUGUCCGGAAUUAUUGGGCGUAAAGCGCGCGCAGGCGGUCCUUUAAGUCUGAUGUGAAAGCCCACGGCUCAACCGUGGAGGGUCAUUGGAAACUGGGGGACUUGAGUGCAGAAGAGGAGAGUGGAAUUCCACGUGUAGCGGUGAAAUGCGUAGAGAUGUGGAGGAACACCAGUGGCGAAGGCGACUCUUUGGUCUGUAACUGACGCUGAGGCGCGAAAGCGUGGGGAGCAAACAGG
rnacentral:rRNA from 1 species